CAGUGCAAGUUUGUAUUACAGUAUGUGAAAUGCAUUGGCAAGAGAAAGCACUCAUAUACAUUUGUGAUUUCUUCGCACUGUUAUUGAAAUUGUCUCUGUCACGAUCAGGCUUGAACAGAGCGAUCGCUCAGGCGGGAGAGCGGGCAAGGAGCAGGCAAGGUACAGGGAUUUAUUAGAAGGACUCGGGGCAAGGAGACAUCAGACAUCGACGAACAUCAAUGACGGACAAGGAACCAGGGUUGUGGACCGGUGCCAGUCCAUGAGAAGGUUCCUGCCGGUCCAUGAGAAGGGUUCCUGCCGGUCCAUGAGAGAGUUCCUGCCGGUCCAAGAGAGAGUUCCUGCUGGUCCGCGAAGCCUCGCUUCUGCACCAAUCAAAAGUCAGUCAGAUUAGGUCAGGUACAAUAAUAAUAACAAUAAUAAUAAUAGCAAUACCAUCUAUCUAUAGUAAUAAUAUCUAUCUAUAUAUGUGGAUAUGCAUCCACGGGGGGAAGGUGGCUAUGCAGGGCCCUGCAGCCCCAAAGCCUGACAUGACUGGUCACCAAGACAAAUAAGUUUGAGAAACGCUGAGGUAAUACAUUUUUUUAGAAGGAAUUCAGGGUAACACAGCAGGUAAAAACAUCAGCAAAACCAGUUACUGCACAGCCUUAAAUAAGGAACCCAGUCUUAUCUCUGAUAAUGAAUCCAUUAGAUGUGUUAGCAAAUAGUGGACCACAAAUAUCAUAAGCAAAGGGGAGACAGGAUGGUGUAAAAACCAGACUUCCAGGGACAUUGUUUUCUAUAUAGUGUUGCCUGUGAACAUUAUCACUGUAAUAAACCCAGAAAUACUGAAAA